rnacentral:lncRNA from 1 species
GAGAUGGUGGGAGGCAAGUCAAUCUCGUGCUGCACAUAGGGGUAGGUGGGCUGGAAACGACUGAAUGGAUCCCUCUGGAUGAAAGAUGGGGUAGUAAACCUAUCCCUGCCCCGUGGGGCACACAUGAUCUGGAAGGAGAAAGGAAAAGGUCUGAGGAGAUUCUCAGUACAACUGUGACUGACAAUGGGGCAGGCCGAGGGAAGUUCAAGCUUGCUCUGUGUUCACACCAGUUUUCACACACACCCCUCACAUCAUUUCCUAUGUAAAACAUAAAAGAAUAGUGUCCAGUGUGGUGGUUUGAAUAUACUUGACCCAGGGAGUGGCACUAUUAGGAGGUAUGGCCUUUUUGGAGUGGGUGUGGCCUUGUUGGAGAAAGUGUGUCACUUUGGGCUUUGAGGCCUUUUUCAUAGCUGCCUGGGAGACAGUCUGCUCCUAGCUGCCUCCAGAACAAGAUGUAGAACUCUCAGCUCCUCCAGCACCAUGCCUGCUUGGACGCUGCCAUGCUUCCCACAGUAAUGAAAAUGGAAUGAACCUCUGAACCUGUAAGCCAGCCCCCAUUAAAUGUUGUCCUUUUAUAAGAGUUGCUGUGGUCACUGUGUCUCUUCACAGCAGUGAAACCCUAACUACAACAUCCAAAAUCAUUUUGUUGUUUGUUGGUUUGUUUAGUGUGGUCCUCUAGAAGCCAUGUCACAGGUGCCCUCACCCAAACCUCAAUGGCUUUACCCAUAAAAUGUAAGACGAGGCAGAGCAAGCCUCUUGCUUUUUCAGGACCUGACAGCUCUGGAACCCAAAACUGAGCAAAGGAACAGGGGUCUCUGAGGUUAAAUGUUCUUCC